rnacentral:sRNA from 1 species
AAAGAAACUAACAAAAAUAGUGCUCAG